GACGAACGCUGGCGGCGUGCUUAACACAUGCAAGUCGAACGGAAAGGCCCUGCUUUUGUGGGGUGCUCGAGUGGCGAACGGGUGAGUAACACGUGAGUAACCUGCCCUUGACUUUGGGAUAACUUCAGGAAACUGGGGCUAAUACCGGAUAGGAGCUCCUGCUGCAUGGUGGGGGUUGGAAAGUUUCGGCGGUUGGGGAUGGACUCGCGGCUUAUCAGCUUGUUGGUGGGGUAGUGGCUUACCAAGGCUUUGACGGGUAGCCGGCCUGAGAGGGUGACCGGCCACAUUGGGACUGAGAUACGGCCCAGACUCCUACGGGAGGCAGCAGUGGGGAAUAUUGCGCAAUGGGCGGAAGCCUGAUGCAGCAACGCCGCGUGCGGGAUGACGGCCUUCGGGUUGUAAACCGCUUUCGCCUGUGACGAAGCGUGAGUGACGGUAAUGGGUAAAGAAGCACCGGCUAGCUACGUG
rnacentral:rRNA from 1 species